rnacentral:rRNA from 1 species
UACGGAGGGGGCAAGCGUUGUUCGGAAUUACUGGGCGUAAAGGGCGCGUAGGCGGAAUAUCAAGUUAGGGGUGAAAGGCCUGGGCUCAACCUAGGAACGGCCUCUAAAACUGAUAAUCUAGAGUUCGGAAGAGGAUGGCGGAAUUCCCAGUGUAGAGGUGAAAUUCGUAGAUAUUGGGAAGAACACCGGUGGCGAAGGCGGCCAUCUGGUCCGACACUGACGCUGAGGCGCGAAAGCGUGGGGAGCAAACAGG